GGAGAUACAGAUGUUUCAUCCCAAAGUUAAGGAGCAAAGCGAAUGCUUCAAUUAUACGACUUGUUGUUGAUCCAAACUUGCUUAGAACCGGGACGACAGAGGCGCCGCUGCGUGACAGAGGCCUACAAACUCCCGAUCCAGAAGACGGGACGGAUGGCAAAGAUGGUCGGUCCAGUCCCAACAUCUGGAUCCUGCCAGUGGUCGUCUGCUCCUCGCUAUCCCUGGCUGCUGCUGCUGUUGUAGUCGGUGGAUAUUUUCUUAUACGACGGCAUCGAAAACGAGAAUGUGUGAAGUAUGAGGUGGCCCCAAGCUCACCACUUCCAGCCUAGGUCCCUUGCUUAAGGACACAUUGGCAGUUGCUGUUGAUGGAGAUGAGAGCUGGACGUUAGAAUCAGUUUGGGGAUUCAAACCAGCAACACUUUCGGCCACAGUUGGACACACUAGACCAGCAGGAGGGAGAUCAUCAUGGUGGCUCCAGGUUACCAUAAGGAAAUCCUCUCAAGAAAAGGACGCGUUAUGAAGAUCUUGGCUGUGAGCGAAUCGGUUGCUGGAGGAAUCUAAUCCCCUUGGACAAAGACUGCUGUAAAACCAACACCUGUCAAAACUGAUGGAUCCCAUUUUGAAAAGUAAACCCUCUUUCAGCUUCUCAACACGUGAUCAGCAGCAGGAUCAUUUUGCAUGAGACAUUUAUUUCUUUUUAUUUCCUAUGGAAAGAAGGACGCCGACCUCAAAGCCAACCUAUGUUGGACCAAAAAGUCCCAAAGGGUUUGGUUUAGCGCAGCCAGACCCUUCCUUAUCGUUGGGAUCUUACCCGUCGUCUUCCUCAAAGCAGAGGACCCAAAGCUGCGUGUGCAUUUUUUGUUGCACCGAAAUUCAUAAUUGACGGACUACCUCGUCGUUUUUAUUUUUCGAGUUUAAGUGGACUCUUAUGUCUCCCGCAACUUGGUCAUUUCAGUCGCAGAUCAUAAAAUCUGCGCGGACGUAAUGCUGCCGUACCAGUUUCCUCGACAGUGGAACAUCUCAUUAGCGACGUACAAGCUACCUACAGGAAGGAAAGUCUUUUUCGUGAAAGUCCGCACAAGAUGGUGCAGGACUCCCUCCUCGCUCGCCUUUCUCGUAAUGGACGUUCGACCCGCGAGUUUGUUUUUUGUUUUUUGUUGAACUGCCUGACAUCAUUUUCUUAGAGCAGUUUUUGUGAGCAGAUCUGUGACCGAAAUGUCCAAGUUCUGGGAGACUCUGAGGCGGGCAGCAAAGCUUCUGGUCGCUGAGAGAGAAACCUUCCGGAUCGGGAGCCAGCUGCACCACCUGUUCGCAAGUUCCCGCUGGGCCUCGUUCUAAUGAAAGUGUUUACUAAGUGGAGUUCUGGGCAUCGUUUAAUUGAAACAAAUUGCGCAAACUUGUUUUUUUUGCUGGAGGUUCACACCCAGUACCUGCAAAUCGAAAUUUGUGACUUUAUUUAAUGUAUUUGCAAAAGUUGUAUCUCUUGAUUGGACAACACCAGUUGACACACUACUGAAAUCUUUACUUGUCCAUCCAGUGACGGCGAAGAUUAUGGGGGGGGGGGGGUUCUGCUUUUGUAUUUUAAGACCUUUUUUUAAGUGGAGGAGAAACAUGGUUGAAAUUAAUCCUCAUGACCCCGUUGUGGUCGGCCCUCCUUUCACCUGAACACACGCCCUCGAUUCGGAGUGGCAGCUGCAGCUCUCUGGCACGUACGAGUCAGAGCUGGAAGAAUUAGCUCAUUGGACGUUCAGACGCUCUCCACUCCCUUCACAUCAACGCUGAAAGUAGCUUUUAGCAGGGCACCUCCGCCUCACUGAUGUUCUCUUUAUAUAAUUUUGUUGUGAUUGUUUGUUUGAACAAUUUAACCAAUAAAAGAUCUUUGUUCGUUUUUGAGCAUCAAACUACCUCUAGUUUCAGUUACAUCGUGCUGUACGUGAAUGUUAUUUCUCUAAAUAAAGGUUUUUAUAGUGUUC